GCCCCAGUGGCUUAGAGGCUAUAGUGUUUCUGGAUAUCUAGAAAUGCAGCAAAAGCGGCUGACUUGUAAUCAGCAGGUCGCGCGUUCAAUUCGCGCCUGGGGCU
rnacentral:tRNA from 1 species